GACGUAGGAGGCGAGCGUUGUCCGGAUUCAUUGGGCGUAAAGAGCACGCAGGCGGUUUGGCAAGUCGGAUGUGAAAACCCGGAGCUCAACUCCGGGCGUGCAUCCGAUACUGCCCGACUAGAGGUAGGUAGGGGAGAUCGGAAUUCCUGGUGUAGCGGUGAAAUGCGCAGAUAUCAGGAGGGACACCGGUGGCGAAGGCGGAUCUCUGGGCCUUACCUGACGCUCAGGUGCGAAAGCUAGGGGAGCAAACAGG
rnacentral:rRNA from 1 species